rnacentral:rRNA from 2 species
GGAGUCUAGCAUGUGCGCGAGUCAUUGGGACUUAUAUAAAACCUAAAGGCGAAAUGAAAGUAAAGGUGUAUCUUUGCAUAUACUAAGGGAAGAUGAGUUAUUCAAUGUAAUAGCUUCGCAUUCCCGGGGCGUUUCUUUCUCUUAAUGGUACUUGUAUUAUUAACGAGAUGAGGCGCACCCAGAGCGUACACGCUGGGACCCGAAAGAUGGUGAACUAUGCCUGGUCAGGACGAAGUCAGGGGAAACCCUGAUGGAGGUCCGUAGCGAUUCUGACGUGCAAAUCGAUCGUAAGAACUGGGUAUAGGGGCGAAAGACUAAUCGAACCAUCUAGUAGCUGGUUCCCUCCGAAGUUUCCCUCAGGAUAGCUGGCGCUCGUUUAGAGCACAUAUAUACAUUAGUAUAAUAUAUUUACGAGUCUCAUCCGGUAAAGCGAAUGAUUAGAGGCAUUGGGGUCGAAACGGCCUCAACCUAUUCUCAAACUUUAAAUGGGUGAGAUCUUCGGCUUGCUUAAAUAAUGAAGCUGUAAGAUCGGAUCAGAGUGCCAAGUGGGCCAUUUUUGGUAAGCAGAACUGGCGCUGUGGGAUGAACCAAACGUAGAGUUAAAGCGCCUAAAUUAACGCUUAUGGGAUACCAUGAAAGGCGUUGGUAACUUAAGACAGCAGGACGGUGGCCAUGGAA